rnacentral:tRNA from 1 species
UCCCUGGUGGUCCAGUGGCUAAGACACUGUGCUCCCAAUGCAGGGGGGACCAGGUUCGAUCCCUGGUCAGGCAA